rnacentral:misc_RNA from 1 species
ACACUCCAAAACUCUCAUAGCCCUGGAAACCAGAGUUUAUGAAACCCUAUUCACAUUAGCGAACCCGGCGGGAAAUGCAGUGGCGGCCUUGCAAAAGGUCAAAGCUACAUUUCUUAGCUACUUUCUUUUGUCCAUUUUUUACUUUAAACCCCAAUCAUUUCUUUUUAUGUCUGACUGGAAGACCUAGUCUUCCGUUGCUCUUUACUCUAACCGGUGGAGGCAAUGAAAACUACUUAAAAAAACAAAAAAA